rnacentral:tRNA from 1 species
GCAUUGGCCGUUUAGUGGUAAAAUUCUCGCCUUCCAUGCGGGAGAUCUGGGUUCAAUUCCUGGCCGAUGCA